GCCAAAAAUCUAGCCCCACCACAAAACUCCCCCAAAGAAACACCCCAUACUAAAAUAACCCUAACUAAAGCAUUACCAAACUUAAGUACCGGCGAUAGAAAAAGAAAACGGAGCCAUAGACAUAGUACCGCAAGGGAACAAUGAAAUAGAAAUGAAACAACUCAUAAAAGCACUAAAAAGCAGAGACUUACCCUCGUACCUUUUGCAUCAUGGUCUAGCAAGUCACAACAAGCAAAAAGAAUUCAAGUUUGGCCUCCCGAAACUAAGUGAGCUACUCCGAGGCAGCGAAAGAGCAAACCCGUCUCUGUGGCAAAAGAGUGGGAAGACCUCCGAGUAGGGGUGACAGACCUAACGAACUUAGUGAUAGCUGGUUGCUCAUGAAAAGAAUUUAAGUUCUGCCUUAUAAUUACUUAUAACACUUUUAAGUAAUAAAGUAAUUAUAAGAGUAAUUCAAUAGGGGUACAGCCCUAUUGAAGAAGGAAACAAUCUCCAUCUUUGGGUAAGGAUCAUACAACACAAGGGUCUUGCCAGAGUGGGCCUAAAAGCAGCCACCUCGCUAGAAAGCGUCACAGCUCAUGCAAAGCUUAACCAACAAUGUCGUUAAACCCUCCAAACCCGUAAGUACUACUGAGCCUCUCUAUAUCUACAUAGAACAGUUUAUGCUAGAACUAGUAACAUGAAAUUAUUCUCCUAAUGCAAGUGUAAAUCAGAUCGAAAGCCUCACUGAUAGUUAACGUACCAUAUGAAGGUAUUGUAGUAACCAAUCAAGAAAACCCUACAAACCCCGCCGUUAAUCUAACACAAGAGCAUAAAAGAAAGAUUAAAAGACAUAUAAGGAACUCGGCAAACAUGAACUUCGCCUGUUUACCAAAAACAUCGCCUCCUGCCCUACAUGUAUAGGAGGUCCAGCCUGCCCAGUGACGUAAAUGUUAACGGCCGCGGUAUUCUGACCGUG
rnacentral:rRNA from 1 species